GAGGUUGUAGUAUAAUUUUAGUAUUUGUCAUUGUCUAUGAUGUAGUUUAAACCUUG
rnacentral:tRNA from 1 species